AACAGUCUUGUUUUUUGGUAGAUAAUCUCGUUUGAUCAGUUCGAGAGAGGGGCAGAGAGCUCGAAGCUCCAGGAACCAAGAUCGUGUUUGUACUUUUUUCGCAUAUUUUGCUCACUUUCUCUCUCUCUCUCUCUCACGAAAGGAUCGACUGAAGAAGGUUUUCUAGCUUGGGUUUCUUUUUCGAAUUUCUACAUAAGUUGAAGGUACCAAAAAUGGAAAUAAAGCCGACAGUUGCCUUGAGGGCUAUUCUAGUUGGAGGGAUAGCUGCAUUUGCAAAAGUGGCUGGUGCAAUGAAGGCUGCAGGUGGAGCAAAGUUGGGGGCUGCAGCUGCUGCCAUGUCAGCAGCAGCAACUGCAGCUAUGGCAGGAUCUAAACGGGAAUCAAAUGAUGCUAGCAAGCAACCUUAACAUUGUCUCUUUUGAUUAUAAGCAUUAAUCUGUAGGAUGAGGAUGUCGUAUACCAGGGUUUUAACCAAGCUAGUUGGGAUGAUUUUGUUAUGCUUGAACUCUAAGCCUAAAACUUAAACGCAAACAAAUGGAAAUAAAACUCAAGAUAGUUUAUGUUUACUAAAGAGCAAUCAGAAUUACUCUUAACACGUUAUUUUGCUCGA